AUUGAACGCUGGCGGCAUGCUUUACACAUGCAAGUCGAACGGCAGCGCGGGCUUCGGCCUGGCGGCGAGUGGCGAACGGGUGAGUAAUGCAUCGGAACGUGCCCAGUAGUGGGGGAUAGCCCGGCGAAAGCCGGAUUAAUACCGCAUACGACCUGAGGGUGAAAGCGGGGGACCGAAAGGCCUCGCGCUAUUGGAGCGGCCGAUGUCGGAUUAGCUAGUUGGUGGGGUAAAGGCUUACCAAGGCGACGAUCCGUAGCUGGUCUGAGAGGACGACCAGCCACACUGGGACUGAGACACGGCCCAGACUCCUACGGGAGGCAGCAGUGGGGAAUUUUGGACCAUGGGGGCAACCCUGAUCCAGCCAUGCCGCGUGCGGGAAGAAGGCCUUCGGGUUGUAAACCGCUUUUGUUCGGGAAGAAAUCCUCUGGGCUAAUACCCCGGGGGGAUGACGGUACCGGAAGAAUAAGCACCGGCUAACUACGUG
rnacentral:rRNA from 1 species